rfam:Oryctolagus cuniculus unplaced genomic scaffold chrTn0105, whole genome shotgun sequence.
GGCGCUGUGGCUCAGCAGGUUAAAGCCCUGGCCUGCAGAGCCAGCAUCCCAUAUGGGCACCGGUUCCAGUCCCGGCUGCUCCA